rnacentral:rRNA from 1 species
GACAGAGGAUGCAAGCGUUAUCCGGAAUGAUUGGGCGUAAAGGGCGCGUAGGCGGCCAUGCGUGUCUUCCGUGAAAUCCCUCGGCUUAACUGAGGACGUGCGGAAGAAACUGCAAGGCUCGAGUCCGGGAGAGGGGGGUGGAAUUCCCAGUGUAGCGGUGAAAUGCGUAGAUAUUGGGAGGAACACCGGUGGCGAAGGCGGCCCCCUGGACCGGUACUGACGCUGAGGCGCGAAAGCGUGGGUAGCAAACGGG